rnacentral:rRNA from 1 species
GACGAACCGUGCAAACGUUGUUCGGAAUCACUGGGCUUAAAGGGCGCGUAGGCGGUCGACCAAGUCCGGGGUGAAAUCUUUCGGCUUAACCGGAAAAGUGCCUUGGAUACUGGUCGGCUGGAGGGAGGUAGGGGCAGGUGGAACUUCCAGUGGAGCGGUGAAAUGCGUUGAUAUUGGAAGGAACGCCGGUGGCGAAAGCGACCUGCUGGACCUUUUCUGACGCUGAGGCGCGAAAGCUAGGGGAGCAAACGGG